rnacentral:rRNA from 1 species
AUUGAACGCUGGCGGCAGGCCUAACACAUGCAAGUCGAGCGGAGCGGCUGACGGGUGAGUAAUGCCUAGGAAUCUGCCUGGCAGUGGGGGAUACCUUCCGGCAACGGGCGCUAAUACCUCAUACUUUCAGAUGAACCUAGGUAGGAUGAGCUAGUUGGUGGGGUAAAGGCCUACCAAGGAGACGAUCCGUAACUGGUCUGAGAGGAUGAUCAGUCACACUGGAACUGAGACACGGUCCAGAAUCCUACGGGAGGCAGCAGGGGGGAAUAUGGGACAAUGGGCGAAAGCCUGAUGCAGCCAGGCCGCGGGUGUGAAGAAGGUCUUCGGAUGGUAAAGCACUUUAAGUUGGGAGGCGUUACCAACAGAAUAAGCACCGGCUAACUUCGUGCCAGCAGCCGCGGUAAUUC